rnacentral:rRNA from 1 species
GUCUAUGGCCAUGCGACUCUGAACAAGCCUGAUCUCGUCUGAUCUAGGAAGCUAAGCCGGGUCAGGCCUGGUUAAUACUUGGAUGGGAGACCACCUAGGAGGACCAGGUGCUGUAGGUG